AAUAUAUCGGAACGUGCCCAGUCGUGGGGGAUAACGUAGCGAAAGCUACGCUAAUACCGCAUACGAUCUAUGGAUGAAAGCGGGGGAUCGCAAGACCUCGCGCGAUUGGAGCGGCCGAUAUCAGAUUAGGUAGUUGGUGAGGUAAAGGCUCACCAAGCCGACGAUCUGUAGCUGGUUUGAGAGAACGACCAGCCACACUGGGACUGAGACACGGCCCAGACUCCUACGGGAGGCAGCAGUGGGGAAUUUUGGACAAUGGGCGAAAGCCUGAUCCAGCAAUGCCGCGUGCAGGAAGAAGGCCUUCGGGUUGUAAACUGCUUUUGUACGGAACGAAAAGGCUCUUUCUAAUAAAGAGGGCCCAUGACGGUACCGUAAGAAUAAGCACCGGCUAACUACGUG
rnacentral:rRNA from 1 species